rnacentral:lncRNA from 1 species
UUUACCAACGUCUUGAUAUUCAAUUGAAAUUGCGUUGGUUGUGUCUUUGCUGGAUUUCCUGUAUAUAGUUGAUUGAAAUGUGAACUAAUUAGAUGUAUAAGUGAUGUAUGUCCAAUGCUGUUCGUGAUUAUUUGCGUGGAUCAAAUUCUGUUCAUGUGUGAUUUUGUAUAUCAAAUGGUUCUCAUGCAUGUUACUUUGAGAUGUUGAGUCUGCCGAGGAAGAAGAGGAGACUGUUCUGUGCGUUCUUGAUAUUUUUCACGCAAUACUUGUUCACAACCAUGAUAAUCAAACUAAUGAAUUCGCAAAGAACCUGAUCUGUAGUUCUUGGUUCAUCUCCUCAUUUAGCUGUUUGGAUUUAUAUCCCACAGAGAGGGUGAAGCACCGAAUUUAUUUGAUGAUGAGUUCACUAAUUGAAGUUCUACUUCAAAAUGAUUGUGGGCGACACAUUAGGGAUGCUGUAUCUUACCUUCCCUCUGAGCCAAAUGAUUUGCAAUGAGUUGAUGAUUAUUGAUGAUGAACUUGAAGUUGAUUGAACUUGAUUUGCCUUGAUCUGCAAAUUCGAAUACCUGAUAUAUCACUUUCUGUUUUGGCUGAAAUGAGGUGUUAGAUAAGGUUUUUUGACUUCGAGCCCUUCUAGACAGAUAAAAUACACUUCUAGAGCUUCAAUUUGAUAUGUUGCACGCCCUGAACGGACGUCGUUCAGUCAUCGAAAAACACCUGCAGAAUCUAUUGAUUCUGCAGUAGUUUUAGAUUUAUUUGUUGUUCUGAUUGAUUCUCUGUUUCGAAUGACCUUUUGCGCAAAUGACCCGAUAUGAGCUGGUUGUUGUGGUUUUCUGUGUUUGAUGCUUUCAUGAGAGCUGAAGAUGGUUCGACUAGCUUUCCAACGAGCUAUAAUACACCCUGAUCCGAUAUCAUUAGCCACAUGAAAUCUUCUUUAAAAGUUAGGAAGUAAUUCUGGAAAAUUGUUGUGUUCUGCUUUGAUGUGGAAAUUCGUAUGCCUAUUUUGACUGAUAUGCUUCGGUCCUCGAAAUGAGCUGGUAGAUGAUGUUAUUAGGACUUAAUGUCUUCUAGAUAAUUGUAAUAGGCAUCUCAAGCUUUAAAAUGACAUAUUGCAUGCCUGAAUCAACCAUCAUUUGCCAUGUUUAACAUUUUUUUUCUAAUCCAUUCUGAAAUCUGGAAUUUUGCCUUGGUCAGAAAUGCAUAUUAUGUUUUUGCGUGGGCUUGGUUGUCUGUCACUUCCUAUGAUCUUUUAAGAUAGAUUUUGAGGUUGAUGAUACAAAAAAAGUAUAUCACGUGUGGAAUGGUCUUGCUCUAUUGUUCUCUUUUUUAGCAAAGUUUUGUUGUUUGAUAAUUGAUAUUAGAUAUCUACCAUCAAUCCAAUUUCUAAUAUUAAUCACUUUACUCAGUAGCUUAUUUGUAUUCUACCGAUCCAAGCUCUAUGUGUUUUUGCUUGCAAAGAUGUCCAAAGUUAUGUUGUUCUUUAGUGUCAAUUUUUCUUUGCUUGCUGUCUUUUCUUAUUUUUGACUUCCAAGCUCUUUUUGGCUUUCUUGAAGUUGUAUGUGUUUUCAUUUGUGAAUAUCAGUAUGCUAUAAUUGCUGCUCUAUUCUUGUGUAGAUUGUUUUUAUCCAAUUGAUACAUCUCUGCUCUUGAUUUUUUUUUUUUUUUAAAUAUGCAUACUGAAUCUGAAAAAAUGUUGUCUUUUCUAUGGCUAAUUGCAAGAAAUUUGUCAAGCAUGACAUUCUUAGUUCCAAGUCACUUUGCAAUGUUAAUGACUUGUGUGACUUAUUUGCAUUCUGAUUUAGGGUUAAAUGUUUACCCAAACCUUUUUCGCAUUUAACCUUAUGUCAUGUGCAAGUUUCACAUUUUUGUAUAUUGUCUAGGUGAUCUUAUGAACCUUUAAACAUGCCUUGUAUUUUGUCCUGUUUGUGACUUGAAUUUGCUAGAUUCAUGUUCAUGUCUUAUGCCUAUGUUUGUUCGUUACAAUAAUGAUUUCUAUGCGUUAUCUUAGUCAUAUAAGAUGAGGCAAGGGAUCCUUGUUUCUUAGAUUAGGUUUAGAUUAGGACGAAGAUGGAGAAGGCGUAAGGCGUAAAGAUGGUGGAGGUCGAUGUCCACUCCGACCGUUAUCAUGUAAUGCUCAUUUUUCCCGACACAUGUCUCGGGUUCCAUGCAUUGUAUAAAAUCCGACGAGUUGUGGGUUUUCUUCCUUUCCCAAUUGUUUUCUCUUUUAUACAUUUUUGGAAUUGCAUGAUUAGGUUUAACUGCUUUCCCUUAAUUGUUUACUUCACGUCUUGCGAUUUCAUUUUCAUUGUUUGUUUUCCUUUCAUUUCUUAGGAAUAGAAUAGAAUGAAAGUAAUCCACAACGCAUAAUCAUUUAGUAUAGAAUUGACGAUCCUGAAAAUAUAAAAAGAAAUGCAUGAACAUGUUAGGAAAAACACAACAUACUGAUUAGGUACCGAAAGGGUGCUAAUAACAAUAUUAGCGUAACCCAAGUCCCCGAACCUAGAUAUCUAGCUACGUAGGAAUCGAGGGAACACUCCCGACCCUCGAUUGGGUUUCUAGCCGACUCCCAAAAUGAGGCUAGUGGCGACUCCUGUAUAUUCUUAGGUUGUUAAAUACCUAGAUCGUAUAAAUAAAUCCGCUGUCACGCGGGGUACGAGCUUGGGAGAGCUCGCGAUCUCGUGAGGAGACUCUCGUGAUCAAAGUACCCCUAAAUCCGACAUUUCCCCUCUUUGGACAUUUCGAGGGGUGGCGAAAUCGGGUCGCGAUAGGUUUGACGACUCCAUUGGGGACUGGUUACUAGAUUAAGAGGACUUGAAGCCGUUUAAAAAUGGUUGUUGUGUUUUAACUAACAUGUCUUAUAUAGGAUCGCUUGCAUGUCAAAGUCGCGUGAAAAAUCAGGUUAGUCGCUAACCUCGUGUUAAAUGGUUUUGUAGGUGGGAGUUAUAAGGGGAGGCGUGCUUGUAAACCAUUUGUUUUGCAGGUGGUGUAAGGAUGUAUGAAUGUAUGUGGGUUUAUAUUGAAGUGCUGAAUGUUUAAAUUUAAAUGCAUAUUUACAAGCUUUAGCACGACACCGCACACACAACCGCGGUCUAAAACCCCGAUUGCCCAAUUUAGGACCUUAGGAGGGUUUAUGGGUGGAAUCUGCGGGUGGAUGCUCAUGGUAAUCCAUUACUUACAUAAACUCGCUCAUCCCAACCGAUAAAAUAGCACUGACCGGUGAUAGUAGCGGUGGGUAAACUAUUUUUAUCCUUUGGAAUGAGGACCUUGAGCCUUUAGCACCCUCACCUUAGGCGUCAAAACCUCACAGUUUCAUGCGACGUGAUUUGUGCCUGUCAUGUGUCUGGUGGGUAAGAUAUCGUUCCUUCUUCAUUGUGCUUAUCUUUUACUUUCCAUAUUUCAAUUAUGCAUUUUAUAUUUCAACGACGAUAUGUUUUAAUCAUGGUUUAGAUUUAGAUGGGUAAACCCGAAGUGGACGUGAUCCUUGUGCUUGGAAAUCUCAAGACUCUAUUGGUGAAUCUCGACCCAAGACAUAAAGACUACGUGGAAAAAUUCUUGAACCCCAAGGUUUUCGACAGGCUCACAUUAAGGAACAAGAAGACAAUGCCUUGAUUAAUGAAGAAUGCUUGGCCCAUGAUAACAAGUGUUUCCGGGCGAUCCCACCUAGUCCUUAGGUUUUCAUUUCAUGCACUUUUUUUUAAAAGGGAUUUCAUUUGUGUUUCCCUCUUUUCUAUCGAGGUUUCCCUGUAUUCAUUUUUCAUAUCCUUGUAAAAUCGAACUACUUUGUAAGCUUCAAGAAAGCAAGAUUAUGUUUCCCUUGUAAUUGUUCAAUGAAAUGAAUAAAAUUCUUGAACAUUUUCAUGUAAUUUUUAGAAAAGGGGCAUCCUGAUUAAAUACUUGUCGUCAUUCCUUUUCAAUUGUAUAAUUUCUUUUGAGGAAAUUUUGAUAAGAGGAUGUUAUAUGAUAUUGUGAUCAUAUACACUUCUUAUCAUUAUUUCAUCUCAAGAAAAUAUAAAAUUGACUAGGAUUUGUACUUUAAUGGUUUCUCUUGACUGGUACUAAUUCAAGUCAUCUUCUUUUAUAGGAGGUUUUGAAAAACGGCUAAAGAAAGAUUUGUUAUACGAACUCGCUGCCAAACACAGAUGAAAAACGAAGAUACCCGAGCCCGUGUCAUUAAUAUGGAGAAUCAAAUGGUGCAUAUGAUGGCGUUGUUGGCUGACCUAUCCAACCAAGUCAAGAACUUAACGUCUAUAGUUUUUGCUUCUCCUACCAUGAAUCUUCCUACCGCUCAUACACCUACCAUGGAGAUAGGGGGUUCUUCUCGAAACUUUGAGCGCAAAAGAAAAGCUCCUCAAAGGCAAUUCACUCCAUUGCCUAGACCAAUGUCCCAACUACUUCCAAUGCUGAUCGAAAAUCAUCUUGUGGCAAAAGAGAUCCCGAGAGAUAAUUCGCCAAAGUUUGUCGGGUUCAACCUUAAUAAGAUGUGUGAUUAUCAUAUGGGAGAGAGAGGUCAUCAUGUGGACAACUGUCUGGUGCUUCGUUCUAAGGUCCAAAAUUUGCUGGAUAAAAAGCUGCUCAUCUUUAAAGACUUAGCGCCGAAUGUCCAACAAAAUCCCCUUCCAAAGCAUUCUGAAGAGGUCAACAUGAUUUAUGGGGAUGACGACAAAGAUAUACCCCUGAUAGAAAUCCAAAAGAUGGAACAAAUCACGCCAUUUGCUGAUAGCCAGUUGAAAGACAACAUCACUCGUGAUAACGAAGACCUUACUUCAAUUUUGUCGAAAGAUAAAGAGGUCUACUCCUAUGACGGGGAUGAGGAUGAAUACAAAACUUCUCAUUUGGAUAGUGAGUUCAUAAAGAAAGCUUGCGAAAGAGGUGAAGUGGUGGACACCUGGGGACAACCAAGAGGGAAAUACGACUUUAUGGUCAAGUAUAUUCCUCUUCCAAGUUAUUUUCAAAAUCCCGAAGACAUUGUCCCUAGUGGAUGGGGAAAUGAAUUCGAGGAUGAAUUCAUGGCUAUGAUUGAGCCUGUUGUGAUUGAUUUGACCAAAGAGAAAACCUCAUGUGGGAGUGAUACAACUAAUAAAGGUGUCAUUGAAAUCGGCUCAUCGAUUGACAAUUUUGGAACCAUGAAGAUCUCAAGCGCGGGUUUUGGACCUAUUGUGAUUGAAUUGCCACUAGAAGUUGGUGAGUGUUCCAACACUAAGAUGACUCCCACUUAUGACACUAAGGCGGUCCCUUGGAAUUAUAAUACAAAUGAAAUCGACGCUGUCACCCGAUCGGGUCGAAUCUACUCACCACGUGAAGGUGAGGAAAAGAAGGCCGUAACUGAUGAGGAAGCUGAAUAACUCCUCAAAACACUCAAGACAAGUGAAGCUGAAGUGAUUGACCAAUUGCGCAAGAUGCCUACGCAGAUUUCUCUAUUGGAGCUUUUCAAGACCUCUGAAAAACAUAGAAAUGCUCUCCUCAAAAUUUAAAAUGAAGUUCAUGUACCUGAGGCCAUUGGAGAAGUACAGUUGGAGGAGUUUGUGGGUGCAAUACUUCUAAGAGAUCAAAUUACUUUCUCUGAGAGAGACCUCCCUUCUGAGGGCCAAGCACACACUAAGGUGUUAUAUGUGUCCGCUCAACAUUUUGAGACAAAGAUUUCGAAGGUCCUGAUCGAUAAUGGCUCUGCCUUGAACAUUUGCCCUUUAUCCACCCUUCAUAAAUUGGGGAUAGGAAUGGAAAAUGUCUCUUCUCCAACAAUUCCUGUUCGAGCCUUUGAUGGGAUGAAGAGAGAAACAAUAGGAGAAAUCAAUUUAUCACUGACGAUUGGCCCUAUUACCAUGACUAAAAAAUUUCAAGUACUAGAUAUCCCAAGCAAUUUUAGCUUGCUAUUGGGACGACCUUGGAUCCAUGCUGUAGGGAUCAUUCCUUCUAGUCUUCAUCAGAUGAUGAAACUGCUCAUCGAUGGAAAGAUUGUGACCAUCCGACGUGAAAGAGAUGUGGAGACUUUCCAUAACACGGCCAUACCUUUCAUUGAGCCUGAUGUCAAGGGGGAAUCGAGCUAUCACUUGUUUGAGAUGGUGUUUGUCACUCAUGUGCCUGUUGGGUCGAUUAUUAGGAAGCCUCGAUUCUUAAAAGCCUCCCUGAUGGCAAGUAGAGAACCGCUCAAGAACGGUUUUGCUAUGGGGAAAGGUUUGGGUAAGUUCGCCCAAGGCAUUAUAAAUCCUAUUAAGGUGGUCAAAAUCAACAAGCGUGAAGGCCUGGGUUAUCAAGGCAACCGUAAGGAUCAAGGUAAUUGCAAAGGCCCAAACAUCAAAGGUAAAAGCUACCAACGUCUCUUGCUUCCACCUUUGAAAUAUUUCUUUCCUGGACCACCGAAGCUCUUGCAAGAAGGAGAGGCCAAUGUCUAUCACUUUGCUGAUUUGUUUGAAGAUGGUCUAGUUGGCACUAUGGGUAAAGAUGAAGAGCCUACAAUUCCCACUGUGUGAGGGAUGUUUCUAGUUCUUGCAUUUAAUUUUUAGUUGUAUUCGAUUCAUUUCUCCCCUGCAAGGGAAUUCUAUUCAUUUCUCCCCUGCGAGGGAAUUUCAUUCGUUUCUCCCCUGUGAGGGAAUUCCGUUCAUUUCAUUCGUUUGUGCUUGUAAUAAUCUGGAUCAUAAACUUUCUAGAUCCAAGAUGAUAUACAUUGUAAUGCAAUUUUUGCAUAUCAAUAAUAUUCAUGUUUUGUUAAUAGACGUGUGAGGCCCAAAUCAGUCUUAUGAUGAUGCUUUGAGGCCUGAGCCUUCACACGAUCUAUCGUUUCAAAAUGUUUUAUUGGAACGAUGACGUCCAAUGACAUGAGGAUUAGUUCCCAAUAAAUUUUUCAAAAAACAACUUGAAUUUGAAAACAAAUUUUUCAUGUCAUUUACAUUCAUUACAUUCAUUCAUAUGUAUAUAUACUAACCAUUUUUCGAUUGCAUCCCAAGCAUGACAUUUCACAUCAUGAUAGUCAUUUGCAUGGCUUGGAUUCGCAUUCAAAAGACUUUGACGAACCCGAUUAUUCCAACUCAGAGAAUGAAGAUGAUCCUCGAGGUAUUGAAAAAGAAUAGCUCAGACAUGAAAGUCCAAACCUCCUAUCGCCAAACAGCCAGUCACUCUAAAUUUAGGAGAUUCAGAUAACCCUAAAGAAACCAAGAUUGGGGCAGGUCUCUCUCAAGCGGAUGCUAAUGGAUUAAUUGGGCUCUUGAAAGAAAUAUAUGGAGAGUGUGGCACUCAUAUGAACGGUCAUCUCUUAGCUAGAAAAAUAUUGAGGCUUAGUUACUAUUGGUUGAUCAUGGAAGCCGAUUGUAUUUAGCAUGUGAGGUUCUGUCAUCAAUGCCAAGUCUAUGGAGACAAAAUCAAUGCUCCUCCUAAUGAGCUACAUCAAAUGUCUGAGUCCUGGCCUUUUUCAAUGUGGGGCAUCGACAUCAUUGGACCAAUUAAUCCUCAAGCAUCGAAUGGACAUCGUUUUAUCUUAGUAGCAAUUGAUUACUUCACCAAAUGGAUUGAAGCCAAUUCUUAUGCCCAUGUUACUGCAAAGAGUGUGGAAAAAUUCAUCCGUCGUGAUAUCAUCGCUCGAUAUGGAGUUCCUGAAGUGAUCAUCACGGAUAAUGGAUCAAACUUGAACAAUAAAGUGGUGGAUGAUUUACUUGGAGAAUUCCACAUUCGCCAUUUGAAGUCUUCUCCUUAUCGCCCACAAAUGAAUGGAGCUGUGGAAGCGGCAAAUAAGAAUAUCAAGAAGAUUUUAGCCAAAACAGCAGAAAAUUAUCGUGAUUGGCAUGAUCGGUUGCUAUAUGCUUUGUUUGCUUAUCGAACUUCAAUUCGUACUUCGACUGGGGCAACACCAUUCUCAUUGGUUUAUGGAAUGGAAGCUGUAUUACCUGUGGAAGUGGAAAUUCCUUCACUGAGGAUACUUUCUCAAAUCAAGCUCUCUGAAGCUGAAUGGGUUCAGCAAAGAUUUGAACAACUCAAUAUGAUUAAUGAAAAGAGGGUGAAAGCCUUAUGCCAUGGACAAAGCUAUCAGAAGAGAGUAGCUAGGUCAUUUAACCGCAAGGUUAGACCAAGGCAUUUCGAGAUUAACGAUAUUGUCUUGAGGAAGGUUUUACCUAUCAUUUCAGAUCCUCGUGGGAAGUUUACUCCAAACUAUGAAGGUCCAUAUAUUGUAAAGAAAAUGCUACCUGGUGGAGCACUAAUCCUUGUAGAAAUGGAUGGUCAUGAAUUGCCAAGACCUGUAAAUGUUGAUGCUGUCAAGAAGUAUUAUCCAUGAAUAAAGUGAAAAGCCUUUGAGCCAUUUUUGGAUGUUUGCAUCAUGCAUUUUCAUGCAUACAUAUUGCAUCUACAUGUUUGUUAAUUUUGCAGGAUCUCUGAUGAAGAUUCUACCUAUCCGCAAGAGGUUCAUCUCAAGAGUGCAAAACUUUCAAAAGUGUCAAUUCUUCUUUAGAACUUAGAAGUGACCUUAUCCUUUAGAAUGCUAGAGGAGUCGGUUAGAAUUCUAAAAGUACAAUUAGAACUCUAGAAAUGAACCCAUGUGCUAAGCAAAGCCUGUUCUAUCUACAAAUUUUGUCAAACUUUACUUCCAAAAAUCUUCCCGGUAGGGUCAAGGAAACAUGUCAUCUCAGACAAAAUUUCAUUAUAUUUUCAUUUCCCCAGGGAGUUGAAUUUAACUAAAAUAUGCUUUGGAAAACCUGAAAAGGAUUGUAAAAUAUGCCAGGUGGUAGUGCCUAAAAUGAUGAGAGGCAACCCUUUUACCAAACACGUCCUCAUACACUCUUUGAAAGAGUAGAGUGGAAAGAACCACGUCUUAGGGCAUAUGAUUCAUUCACAGUGAAUACAUGAUUUGAGAUGAUCAAGGCAUUUUCAUUUCUCAAUCCCAAACACUAUUGAUAUCCCUUGCAAGCCACUUUGAGCCAAAUAGGGAGCAUUUCAAAAUAACCAUGUCAAGAACAACCCCACAUUGGGCAAAAUAGGAGGUCUUGGUUGAAAAUCAUAGAGCAAAAGAUUAAGAAAGAUUUUAUUGCUUUCACUUGCAUCAAUCUUCUUGUGCUGGCUUUAGGUGAUUUCUUAUCGAAACUUGAAGCAUCCCGAAGUGAUGAAGAGCAUUCCGUUCACUACCACAAACACAAUUAUCCAUUACUUAGCCAAUUUGAGCUUAUGCAAUUCUUUCAUAACCCCAGGUGAUGAUUAUCUCCCCACACUAGGGCAAGGCACAUGAUUUACCAACAAAAUUGAGAAUAUUGGUAAUGUUUGUAAAUGCCACUCGAGAGUCCUAGAUACUCAAAAGAGAAUGAAAACUAGGGGGCAUGAAAAAGCAGUGUGCCUGGUAAAAACAAGGCCAAUGCCCAUGAAAAAAAAAUGCAAAGAAAAGCAAGAAUGUAAAAAAGAGCGAAAUCCAUGAUCAUGCAAAAGAUCAUUUUUCGAAAAACAAAAGAAAUAUCUUGCAAGAAAAAACAUGUAUUGCAAGCAAUAUCAUUAGAACAAAGAGCGAAGCUCUCAUGUCUCAAGACAAAUUACCCAAAGGACUCUCGAGAUAGGUUAAAUUUCAAGAAUCAAAUUUUGAAAACUCGUGUGAUGGUAAUGAUGCCAAGAUAAUCACUCACUUUUUAACCCUUUGAUAUCUGAAAGUUUUUCAAGCCUUUCUAAGCCUCACCCGAACCAACACUACAACCCUUAUCCGAAGUCUCUUCCGAUUGGGAUGGUUCGAGUUGAAAUGAGAAUAUCACAUAGGAGCUACCGCUAGAAGGAGUGGAAGCAAUCCUAUCUUAUCUUAUCUUCAAGGUUCUUGACUUGUAAACCCGAUGAAGAUAUUGAUUGAAUAUUCAUUUCUUGGCCUCAAAGUGCAUACCCUUUGUGUAAGCCCAUGACCAAGCCAUCAUUACGGUCCAUUUAAAAGACCUUUUGAUCAGUGGAUUGUAUUCACUGUGAACGUUUCCAAAAAUCUUAGACAUAGGUUGAGUGAGAUUUCUCCAGUGAGAUUUAAACAAUUUUCCCAUAUCAAUGGUUGGGAAUAAAAGCCCUUUUUGAGAGCUAGUGUGAAAGACCUAUUUUGAUUAGGAUAUUUCCACCUAGCAUAUUUGAUUUAACCCUUAGAUGGUUAAUCAGAUCCCAUUUUGUUAAAAUCUUCUCUGGAAGGAUUUGACAAUCAAUAUUAUUUUGCAAGAUUGUUUCUCCAGCAAUUGAGAAAAUCAUACCCGGUUGAAACCCGUUAGUAUAUGGUGAGACUAUCAUACCUAGUCAAAACCUGUUUGUAUACGGUGAGACUAUCAUACCCAGUCGAAACCUAUUUGUAUAUGGUGAGACCUUCCUCUCAGUCGAAACCCGUUUGUAUACGGUGAGACUAUCAUACCCGUUCGAAACCCGUUCAUAUACGGUGAAACUUUCCUCUCAGUUGAAACCCGUUUGUAUACGGUGAAACUAUCAUACUCGGUCGAAACUCGUUCGUAUACGGUGAGACCUUCCUCUUAGUCGAAACCCGUUUGUAUACGGUGAGACUAUCAUACUCGGUCGAAACCCGUUCAUAUACGGUGAGACCUUUUUCUCGGUCAAAGCCCAUUAUUACACGGUAAGAUCCUUUUCCCAGUUUAAAACACACAGUUCUAGGUCAACUUAAAACCUUGUCCUCAAGUUCUAGGUCAACUUAAAACCUUGUCCCCAAGUUCUAGGUCAACUUAAAACCUUAACCCCAAGUUCUAGGUCAACUUAAAACCUUAUCCCCAAGUUCUAGGUCAACUUAAAACCUUGUCCCCAAGUUCUAGGUUAUCUUUAAACCUUGUCAUUAGGUUCGUGGGUCCAUCCUUAAACCACACGGUUCCAAGUCAUCCUUAAACCUUGUCUCUUAGGUUCGUUGGUCCAUCCUUAAACCACUAGGUUCGUGGAUCCAUCAUUGUCUCUUAGGUUCGUGGGUUCAUCCUUAAACCGCACGUUUCCAAAUCAUCCUUAAACCUUGUCUUUUAGAGAGAGAGCGAGAGACAGAAUGAAUAAAUCUCAACAAGAGUUUAGAUACCCCAAUGAGCAAAGGUAAGUAUCAGGUAUGUCCUUAAUCGACUAUCAUUGCUUUUGUCAUUCUCUAUUUUUCAAAGUUGGGUCGACUAAAAAUUGCAGGUAUCAAUUUUGUUUUUGAGUGGAACCUCUUCGAACUCUCACCCAAAGAGGGGCAGCUGUUGACACUCGAAAUUUUCGUUGACAUUUUAAUCAUCCAUUUUGCAAAAAUAUAAAAAAUAAAGACCUAAAAAUAAAUAACUAAAUUAAUAAAAAGAAAACAAAAAAAGAGAAAAAAGAAAAAAAAAGAAAACAAAAGAAAACAAAAAGAAAAAAAAAUGAAAUGAAAUGAAAAGAGAAAAAAAAGAAAUAAGGAAAACGAAAAAGAAAAAGGAGAGAAAAAGAAAAAAUAAAAGAAAGAAAAAAAAUAAUAGAAAAGGGGAUCGGGGGGAUUGGACGAUUUUUUUUUGCUCUCUUGGAGGUCUCUCUUUCCCGCUCUCCCGCAAGCUCUCUCUCUAGGGGGGCUCUUUCUCUCUGGGGAUUUUUCUCUCUUUCCCUGGUUCUCUCUGGGGGAUCUCUCUCCUUUCUCCUUGUCCGCACCAGAAACCCUAGGCCGAAAACCCCCGAUCUCUGCCGGGAUCGGAGUUCAUGAGUAGGAGAGGAAUCGAUUUGACUCCGAGAAGAACCGACGACAAUGACGAAACACCGCACGCUCCGGAGUCUCGCCUUAAAGGAACCGCCGCUUAGAGAGCAGCUUCCCCUCCGAUCGAAUCGCGCUGCCGUCGCCGCCUUCGCCGUCGCUGUCCUCUCGGCGAAUCUCGGCUCCCGCCGGCCUCGGAUGGUCAUCUUCAUGCCUACGUUUCCCCGAGCUCUGGUCGGAGGCGAAGGUUUUUCUCCAUUGGCGGGCGAUCGGAGAUCGAGCGUCGGCGGUCGGGGAUCGUGAGGAUUUGGUUCUUUCUCGAAGACCGGAUGCUUGCUCACUCGAUCGGUGAUUCUCUUUCUGGAUUAGGCUCGCUAGAUCAGGUUCUCUUGCUCUCUCUUGAUUGCUCUCUGAUUUGAUUGCGAUCCGUUUUUCACUCUUGCUCUUUCUUUUUUGAUUUUGUACUUGUAUUUGUUUUUUUAGCUCCGAGGUUGCGUGCUUUCAUUAGCCUAUUCUGCCAAGUCAUUGUAGCUUGCAUGUCGUUCGUGAUAAAUGCUGUGUUCGGGAUGUUCUGUUUGGCGCCAUUUGCUCCAUAACCUGGAAAUGCCCUCUACCUGUUUGAUAGAAAGCCUGACUCCAUUGCCGAUAGUUCCUAUUGCAUUCCGUUUACCAACGUCUUGAUAUUCAAUUGAAAUUGCGUUGGUUGUGUCUUUGCUGGAUUUCCUGUAUAUAGUUGAUUGAAAUGUGAACUAAUUAGAUGUAUAAGUGAUGUAUGUCGAAUGUUGUUCAUGAUUGUUUGCGUGGAUCAAAUUAUGUUCAUGUGUGAUUUUGUAUAUCAAAUGGUUCUUCUGCAUGUUACUUUGAGAUGUUGAGUCUGCCGAGGAAGAAGAGGAGACUGUUCUGUGCGUUCUUGAUAUUUUUCACGCAAUACUUGUUCACAACCAUGAUAAUCGAACUAAUGAAUUUGCAAAGAACCUGAUCUAUAGUUCUUGGUUCAUCUCCUCAUUUAGCUGUUUGGAUUUAUAUCCCACAGAGAGGGUGAAGCACCGAAUUUAUUUGAUGAUGAGUUCACUAAUUGAAGUUCUACUUCAAAAUGAUUGUGGGCGACACAUUAGGGAUGCUGUAUCAUACCUUCCCUUUGAGCCAAAUGAUUUGCAAUGAGUUGAUGAUUAUUGAUGAUGAACUUGAAGUUGAUUGUACUUGAUUUGCCUUGAUCUGCAAAUUCAUAUACCUGAUAUAUCACUUUCUAUUUUGGCUGAAACGAGGUGUUAGAUAAGGUUUUUUGACUUCAAGCCC